rnacentral:rRNA from 1 species
UACGUAGGGUGCAAGCGUUGUCCGGAAUUAUUGGGCGUAAAGAGCUCGUAGGCGGUCUGUCGCGUCGAUCGUGAAAACUUGGGGCUUAACCCUGAGCUUGCGGUCGAUACGGGCAUGACUGGAGUUCGGCAGGGGAGACUGGAAUUCCUGGUGUAGCGGUGAAAUGCGCAGAUAUCAGGAGGAACACCGGUGGCGAAGGCGGCUCUCUGGGCCUUACCUGACGCUGAGGAGCGAAAGCGUGGGGAGCGAACAGG